GGUGGCUCGGGGCCACAGACCCCAUAUGCACCUGGGAUGCGUGUGUGGAAUGGGAUUUCGGGGAGGGUGUGACCACUGGGCCAAGCCUGCUCUUCCUGUGUGUGACUGCUGUGGACUUGGUUUGUCCUCCUGGAUUCUCCUGUGGUCUUUUUGCCCUGACUCUAGCUGGGCUUUGCUGAUGAGCAGCCCCAGAGGCCUUUGCUCUGUUCACCAGCCUGUCCUGGGACUCUCAGCCAGGCCUUCUCACAAAAGAGGUGUCCUCUACAUGUGGUCACACCACAGCCUAGGACCACACAGGGAAUCAUGGUGGCAGAGCCUCCAGCCCCCCUGCCUUCCCAUUGCCCAGACACUCAGAGGUGGAGAUGCCCAGCCCCAGGCUGCCUUCUACCAUCACGAGCCUCUUCAUGAAAGGCUGUGUUCCAACCGAAAACUACUGGGCCAGAGGAUCCCUUAUACUGUUGUACGUAAUUGGGGUCUGUGCAUCCUUGUCAACAUAGAAGCUGAUGGAGUCUGAGGAAUAACACACGCUGAGAAAACCAAGCAUGGUCAUGACAGGCACUGUGUGAACUCCGAGCCUGCUUCCCACACAGCACAGUUGCGGUCAUGUCCACACUUACGUAGGCCUUGGCUCUGCCCAGCUGCGGGUGAUUUCAGCAGUGGAUGCAGCUCAGUGUGCCCCCACCUCCUGGCCGGCGCCUCCCCAGCCCGAGCUGCAUUCAUCAGGGUACCCCAGGGUGGGGCCUGUGUGGCCCUGACCCCCUCUGCUGCCUGAGGGCAAGGGCGGUGUGAGGCUGGCAGUGAAGCUACAGGUCGGCCUCCUGGCUCCCUGUUGCUCUCAGUCCAUUGUCUCUGCAAAUGCAGAGUCUAAACAGGGCACAGAACAUUUCCUCUUUGCUUGGGCCUGGCAUCAGCGACAAUGCCACCUGUGUGGGGGAGGACUCAGUGGGUAGUGUCCUGGCUUCCCUCCAGCCCCACAGAGCUUCCCUCAAACCUUGCUGACAGCUGGGCACUCUGAGUAAACUGAGGCAAGCCUGGGCCUAGACCAGGGUGUGGGGGCAUGUGCUGUGGGGAGGGGGGUGAGAGAGCUGGCCUCAGGAUUGGGCGGAAACGCCCUGCUGGUGCCUCUGCAGGGAAAACAAGGGCCCUUCAAGUCUGUGUGACUCUAUGUCCCAGAGAAGUAGACACCCGGCUCCCCUCCCUAAGAGCAGGGCCCAGGAGUUGGAGAGGGGCAGCUUUGCGCACCCCUUGUCCUGGGAUCCUGGGGUGCAAGAGUAGAACGAGCACAGUCAGCUCAGAGGGGACAGAGGUUGUGCUAGUUCCCUCUUUCCCUUUAGCCCAAACUCAUGUCCCUGCACACACUGGACCCUCGCAUUGCCUGGAAGUUAUCUGACCCCUGCUGCUGUCCCUUCCCCCGGAGAGACCCAGAUCCCCAAAUAAGGCCGCACUGGGCCCCAGGAUCCCAGGCUUGGAGACAGUGCUUUUGGGGAACUCCAGGGUCCCCCAGCUCUCUUGCUACUUCAGGAAUAGGUUGGACGGGGGCUCAGGAGAAGUGGCCCUCUCCCUGUCACUUCCUCAACAUCCCAGAUAAGGGCUCAGAAAGCUGCUGCAAAACCCGUGGGAGGAGACCCCACCCCUGGAGUUCCUCCCGGCCCUCCUCCCUCUGUUCUCGGUUCCCCAGGACCACAGAGGCUUCAGCCUGUUCUCACUGGUUCUCACUCAGCAGGGUGGUUGGUGGGGCAGGGUGACGACUCUCGGUGUUUCCUGACAACAGGCUGGGGGACUCAAGCGCCAAUGUGAAGCUGAAGCGUGUCCUGGAGACGGGGGGCGGUGAGACGGAGUCUGCCCAGGCCAUGCCAGUGGCCGGGGUGUGGCCCUGGGCCUGGGGAGGGUCGCUGUUUGAGAGGAGAUCGCAGCUUUAUAAAAUGACUCCGCACUGGGGAUACAGCAGGGAGUAAAACAGUGAAAACCCUUGUCCUCAAGGAGCUUCUGUUCUGGAUUCCACAGCCACACGCUCAAGUCUUUGCCGUCAGCCCUCCUCUCCCUGAGUCCGCACCUCC